GGGGGCAGUAGGCUGCUGAUGGAGCUCCGGCAUCCCUUCGGCUGGGGCCCCGGGAGGGGGAAGGGAAAAGACCGAGCAGUGGAGGGAAGAGGGAGCCAUUUCUCUCCACUGGCUGCGACCUCCGUGCUCACAGCUCACAUUUGCCCGGAAUCCAGAGGCCUCCUCGGCCGAGGACUCCAUCAUGCUGGAUAUUUUCAUCCUGAUGUUCUUUGCCAUCAUAGGCCUGGUCAUUCUGUCCUACAUUAUCUAUCUGCUCUAGCUGCGGCGGGGAACCCUCAGAACAGCUGGGGGGGGAAGGAUGGAGCUGACUGGCCGAGCAUCCUGCUUUGCUGACGCACCGGUGGAUUUUUGCUUCUGGUCGUUAUUUCGGCUCCUGGUCUCCACUCCAACCAGAGACCUCUUAGCAGCAGUCCUGCUGCCCAGCAGACCUCUUCCAGAACCUUCCGGAUAUGGCUAACCACUGUGGAGCAAGGGGCUUUUUGAGCCCAGAGGCAGAGGGGCACUCAGCCGGGACGUCAGGAAUUCGUGGGCAAGGCUGGCAGAUGCUGUGUGCGUUUGAGCUGUGGAUAGAAGGUGUUGAGGACACAGAGCUGAAAUGCAGACUCAUGAAAGUUACCACGGAGAACUGCGCACAUAUCCAUUUUGAUAGCCUCUCUCUAGGUGUAAAUGCAACUGCGUAUUAUGCUAAAGUAUGUUCUUCCCUUUCCCUCUCACACACUGGGGGGAUAGUUCAAGAGCACAUUGUCUACCCUCAUGUCUGAAGUAUUCAGUUUAUCACUGUCUUUGCAGACUGCACAGCCUGAGGUGGUGUAGUAUCCCUUGUCUCACUCUUUAGCCAGAAGGAACUCGUCAUUUGAAUUUUUAAGAUUUAUCAUAUUUUUUCCACUCCAUACCACGUGAGCCCCAGCUUCUCAUUUAAAGAGAGAAAUGGUUAUAUAGUCAUUAUUCUUUGAGACUGUCUGAAUUAUAAAUUAUUGAAAUAGGGUAGCUAUAACUCAUCUUGUUAUGUGGGAGAAACCUCUCUCUUGCUCCAAAAUAAAUGUGUUUUUUUUUUUUAUAUAUUGUCAAAUGUUCCUUUUCUGGAAAAAAGACUUUCAACAUAUUUCUUUGUCCAGUUAGGGUCGAAGAAACUAUAUAUUUUGGAACCCAGAGUAGACUUGGGCCCCAAAUCUGCGGUACCCAUUCCUUUGAAAAGUCCAUCAUGAUGGUUCUACACUGGAUUUUCCUUUCUGGCUUAAAAAUAAACAAGGAGAAAGAUUAACUUAAUAGUUUUUAUUUAUAAUAUUGUGUUCAAUUUCCGUGUUUUAAAAAAGCAGUAAAAUUGAGGCAAUACAAUAUAUGAUCCAAUAAAAAUGGAAAACUUGCAUUUUAAGAUUCUGGCCAAGAAAAAUACACUACUCCAGGAGCAUUGUCUUGGCAACAAAUUAUGUGACCUUCGAGAAGUCAUUUAACGCGCAGGGCUUUUGUUUAUUCUGACAAAUGAAAGGGUUAGACUAGAAAAUUGUUAAUGGUAAAUUUUUUAUUUCAAAUUUAUUUUUUAUUUUAUUAUUAAAUUUUCAUUUAAAAUCUUCCCUUUCCGUUUUAAACGUCUUCAAUCCUGGGAUGCAUUAGCUUUGGAAACCACACCUUUGAGAGCAGAAUUCCUAUGGAACAAACUCUUAAUAGUUCACCAGCAGUUUGCUUUCCUGCUCUCUCUAAAUGACAUUUGAUAAUGAAAUCCAACUGGAAAACCCUCUCUCUUUUUUCUUUUUUGGGCACUACCAGCUACAUUGUGAGAAGAGAAUGACAAUAUUUAUUCACUCCAAACUUGUAUCAGUGAUAAUUCGCCUAAGCUGUUUAGGGAAUGCUAACAGGUGCAAUAUACUCUAUGGUGGUAUGUGACACAAGGAGGUGAUCUGACAGAUAAGCUAGUGUAGGAAGCAUACAUACAGGGAUGAGGCUGAUCUUCAGUUAUCCGGGGAGGCCUUGACAUGACAUUUCCCACUGAAACACUCCUCUGACUCUUUGGCAUAACUUCGUGUCUCACACUAAAAUUUUUUUCUACUGUAAGGCAAGCGUCAGUAUUUGGGAGGGGGUCCAAGUUACACAGUUAAUUAUAGUGGUAUGAAUCAAGUUUUAGUCUCUAGCCAGGUUCACUCUGAAGUCUUUUAUGAGGCCAAGGCUCUUUAGCCUGUAUUCACGCAUAGUCGAAAUGGCUAAACAACUCAGUGAAAACGAUCAGCCAGUUUCAGUCCUAGCCCACUGAUACAUAUCACCGAUAUUGGGUGCAGUGUAAGCACAGAAAGAGUGUCCAUAUUGCUUGUGAAAUAUUAUGGUUUCAAAAAAUAAGUAAUUAUAUUUUGGAAGAAAUUUUAGGACUUUGUGCCUCUAUCCAUGCUAGAAAAUGCCAGCUUAUAAUAGAACUUUACUGGGUUCAUCAUUUCAAUACCUUUUUUAAAUUUCAUAUUUAAACUAUUUGUAUAUUGGCCUCCUAAUACAUAAUAAAACACUGAAAAGAGUUACUUCUGUAAUAUAAAGGUUUUUAAAAAAAUGUUUAUUUAUUUUUGAGAGAGAGAGCAUCCAUGCAUACACAGGGAAGGAGCAGAGAGAGAGAGGGAGAGAGAGAAUCCCAAGCAGGCUCCAUGCUGUCAGUGCUAGUGCCCGAUGCAGGGCUCAAACCCAUCAACCGUGAGAUCAUGACCUGAGCCAAAAUCAAGAGUCAGACGUUUUACUGAGCCACCCAGGUGCCUGUAUAAUAUAAAGUUUUGUGUACAUUUUAUAAAUCUGUCAUAGGCAAUCCUGUCCUAUAAAGUGGGUAUUACACUUGGUCCACAUCAAUGCAGUAAUAAAUCUAAAUGUAGAUUACUUAGAAAAUAGUUAAUGUGGCAUUACACUAAUUCCUGCUUUCUUGAUAAAGAAUAGAAAUUUGUAUGGGAAAGUGAUGUAUUUUAUUUCAGGAGAAAGAGGAUAUAUUUGGGGAAACAGUUAAAUAAUGGAAGAUAAUAAUAAAUAUUACUAAGUUUGAAGCCA